rnacentral:misc_RNA from 1 species
CUGCGGUCACCGACCCGCCUGCCUAGCGUGGUGACUAUGGGCAACACACAUGAGUCCACGCCACUUUUGGUGCGAACUUUUGGAGGCCUAUGUCCAGCAGUGGCCUGUAAGGAUGAAAAGAUGAUAUUUAUUUAUAUGCAUUAACAAUUAAACAACAACAGACAAUAAAUUCAAAAGGAAAGAUACCAAAAAAAAUAUCACCAACAUGUUUAACAUUUAUUUCCAUUUAUUACUUAAAUAUUACAACUUAAAAUAUUAAAAUUAAAUUACUAAAUUAACAUUUUAACUACAUUUUUUUAGUGCCGUAGCCAAUUUGAAUGAAUACCAGUCGGUGUUGCCAUUUUGUGCUCAUUAAACACGUUUAUUAUAAUGUAUAAAUUCUUAAAUAAAAAAAAAAAAACAAUUACGUAGGUAUUUCAAAAAGUAAAUAUCGAAAUAUUUCAGUAAAUGUUCAUACGUAGUUACGAAUAUAAUUAUCACGGCUUUAUACGAUAUACAGUCAUUGUCUGGCAAAAUAACAUCCUGUCAAAAAAAUGGAUAUAUUCUAAAAUAUAAGAACUCACGUUUUUUUAAAAGCGAACAUGAUAAAAAUUCUCAGGUUUUUUACAUAACUGAAUACUUUAUUUGCUUGCAGCAAACGUUGAGCAAUUUUUAUUAAAAAGAAAUUAUUUUACAGUUAUUCUCCUUUCUAAUAAGAUAUAAAUAUUAUUAUGCCUAUAAAGUAGUAAUGGAUCCGGAAAACGUAAUUAAGAAAUAAUAAAACUUCCCUAUUUAGAUACAUAUAUAUUUAAGAAAAUACUUAAUUUUUCUUUGGGUCUACAAAAACACGACGAGCUGAAAGAAUUACAAUCAAUUUCUAAAAAAAAUUGCCCGACAUGGCCAUGUGUAUUAAAUCAACAUUAUCAUUUAAAUUAACGAUUAUUUAUCUAUAUAGAUAUCGGUAAAAAAUUAUAAUCAAGGAUCCAUAUGUUAUAUAUUACUAUGAAAAAAAAAAUAUUACAUCUGUAGUGUAUAUGGAAAAAUAUGCGAGUUUUCCGUUCAAUUCCUCGAAACAUUUUUUAACGCUUAAAAAUACUCAAAUAUUGAGAUACGAUAUUCACGCUUUACUCAUACGAUCGCAUGUAAUUCUAGACAUUAUAAUAGACAUAAGUAUUAAAAUUUUCAAGGUCAACAUCAAAACUUUUCCUUAUACUGGUAACCUGUGACAGUGGCGUCUGACAAGAAUCUACAUUCCGAAUCGGUGGUAGGUUUACUUGUAACUAUAAUUAAAUAAAUAAAACAAAUAUAAUUUUAAUUUGUCCAAUAAUGAUUCAAGUGCCUUUGAAGACUAUUUAAACUAUGUCAUUAUUGGUCUCGAUUUUGAUUUUUCUGUAUAAGUAAAAGUGUUUAUAAUAGAAAGAGUCAAUACACAAACAUUAAAAUAUCAAGUUAAAAAUACGAAAUCACUCACAUUUUCACAGAGCUAAAACUUUAGUUCUUAGUUUAAAAUUAUAACUAAUGUAUUUUUUGAAAAAAAUAUGUACUUGUAUAAUUCUUAAAAUAAUUAAAAUGUGAUUUGGUAGCUUUAACUCUGUACUAAUAUGAUUGUGAACUGAAUAUAUUGAGACACUAAAGUUGCAGGUCAUUUUCAAAUAAAUCAAGUCCACUUUUCCACAAUUUCACCUAAGACGUUUGAGUGCGAAUUCGUUUUUAAUAGACCAUUUUAUUUUACAACAUACUUCCAGACGUUAUUAUAAGAAUUUACUUUAUAUUAGACUAGCCUACCCGUACCCACUUUGUUGGGCGGUGAUAAUUUAUGUGAUGAAAAUACAUGACAAUUACUUAGGAAAGAUUUCAUCUCGCUCGCACAUCUCUGAUUUGAUUAAAUAUACUAUAAUUUUUCACUGAAUUUUUUGUUCAAUAACAAUAAAAUAUAGCAUAUAUCACUCCUGAAUAGUGUAACUUUCUGUUAAUGAAACAAUUUCCAUGAUCGGAUCAGUAUUUGCGAAGAUCACCCCCCCCCCCCCCCCCUAUAAACAAACAAAGUUAGAAACUUUACCUCUAUAAUAUUAGUAUAGAUAGUAUUAAAGAAAUUGUGGGAAAGAAACGAUUAAAUAUGAAAAUGACGACUUUGAAUUACCCCCUACCAUAUAAUUGAAUUUUUUACAUAUUUAAAAUAGUCUGUGGUUCUAUAUAAGCUAUAUAAAGCUUAGACAAUUUAGCUAUCGAUUUUCGAAAAAUAUUCUCUACUUUCCUAUAAACUAUCAAAAGAUAUUCGUUUAAAACUACAAUCGUAUUUACAUUCGCUAGGUUUAGACAUUUCUAUUUUGUCUAUGGUAUAAACUAUGUAUUGAAAAUAUUGUCUAAUCGCUCUCGAAUUAAUCAAUCACAAUCACUUUUUUUGUACAGUUUUGUACACUUUUGUUCAAUCUAAUUUCGUUCCUUAGAGCGGCCACUUGACUAUCAUAAUUACAGUAUUUUAAAUUGAUAACCUACUAAACCCUAUUUUAGAGAACAAAGUACUACAGACAUAUAUAAAUAUUUGCAUUAGUAAGCAAUUGCUAUCUCUGUCUAUCGUAGGCUAAUUUAUAUUGCGAGAAAGAGAUAGAGCAUUUCUGCUAUUUCUGUAAAUAAAAAUAAAACAUAAAACAAAAUUUCAUAAUUUAGUUCAGUUUAAUUGCACUAAUCAAUCAAAAAUAUACUUUAUUAUGAGAUAAAUAAGAUAUAGAUUUGAGUAACUCCGCUUGAGCUACGUCAUCAAUAACAUUUAAAACUAUCAUAACAUUAUUUAAACUCCCGCCGACUAUAUUACGUCACACAUCACAACAAUUUAACUUUUAGCUAAAUAUAUACAAUACUAAUUUUAUCUCUCUUUCUUUCGCUUAGGAAAUGAAAGAGACGGCGAUGUUUGUUAGAGAUGUAACAGCAUCUGGACAUUUGUAUUAUAAUCGAGUACUUAUAAUAAGCACACAAAGACAAUUAAAUGUUUUUAAUAUUAAAAAUAAGUUUACAAGAUAAACUUAAUCAAUCAUAAGAAUAAUAAAUCAUAAGUAUAUCAAUUUCAUAAGUGUUCUAUGAUGACUAAACAGCGGAAUACGCUCUGAUCCCACAAUUUAGCCCAACAGUUUGAUACGUACAUCUCUAACAUACACCAGUUGCCAAAACUUUGCCAUUUUAGACUUAAUAGAAGAGUAUCUAAACACUAUUAAAGAUAUGAGCUUAAUAUUUGACACAUUUCGUUCAAAAUUAUCAGAAUAGCUUUUGGCUUAUUUUUCAUUUCACUUAUAUUUAAUUUAAAAAAAUAUCCACUUAUUACGAUUUGUAAGUAGAAUUACGAUAGUCUGUUUCACUGCUUGUUGAUAAAUAUAUCUGAGACAUGACGGUAUCUAACAGAUUAAAGUUUGUUAUAUUUUUCUUUAUCAAUUUUAAAAUACUGUAUCCCUAAAUAUAUACAACCUGUUUUAAAAGUUGAAAAAUUUAUGAUAAAUAUCUUAUCAGCAGCUUAAGUGUGAAAUAAAUUUUAUCAAAAACCGGCGAAACAUGCGCUGAAGAAACACAACUAAGUAAUCAAUAUAUACAUUAUAAUUAAUACGUAAAAUAUUUCCCCGUAGCUUAUACUUUUAUAUAAAAAUAGAUGGAAAUACAAGUUUUAUUAUGACAAUGUGGACGAUUUUGUAAUGUGACAAAACAUUAAAUAUACGCCUUUUAUUUUUACUAUUUCAUAUAAAAAAAACGUUAUUAAUAAAUAUCUUGAUUUGUCACAGUAUUUUAUUAUUAUUCAUAAGUAAAAAAAGAUAAUUCUGUAGCAUUUUACGUAAGUAUUUAAAUACCAAAAAUGGUAUUUGUGCAAAUAGCAUACAUUGUAGAAAAUCAUAUCCUCCAGAGAAUAAAUCAGUGAUUCAUUUAAACUACACACAAAGUCACGAGAACUGUUCGAUUUAUUAUUUUAAAUCGAUCAAAUCGAUGUGCCCCAUAAAAGUUUAUCAGCCCCAUUCGUCAUUACAAAACGACGUCGUUUGUCCCCUCAAAAACUUAAGUGUCCCAGAGACGAUCAAUUAAUUAGUUGUCGUAUUGUCUGUUUUAAAUAAUUUGUUUAUUGACAAAUCCAUUGAUGAGUCUACAUAAGAGGUCAAUAAGCACCUUCCAUCGCGCCUGGUAAUGUAUUAAAAUAAACUUCUUUCAAUCGCUACAAAUUGUAACUAUCUAGAAUAUACUAAUUAAUUUAUUAGAAGUUUAUAUUAUCUGACGUGCAUGCAAGAUUUUAUUUGUUACAAUGUAAUUAACACACAUUUUAUGAAUUAUGACAAAUGUAUUUUAUUUCUGGGGCACUUAAUGUCACUCUCAAUUUAUGCCCCAAGUGGGGCAUCUUCAUAUUUUAGAGAAGUCAAGGGUCAUGUUUUUGCUUGCCUAUUGGCAGACGCAAACACUGAUUUUUAUUUCAAGUUUUUU